UUCUAUUCUAGAAAACUUUCC
rnacentral:piRNA from 1 species